CUAAAACAUAAAACUUUUAUCAUAAGGAAUUAUUUACGAAAAAACAGGCAAAGGAUGAUGUUAGACAAAAUGACUAUUUAUACAGUUUUCUGUAAACGCAUAGUUUCAUUUGGGAUUUACUGUAGUGAAGUGCCGAGUGACGUCAAAAUCGAUAAACGCAAAACGCACCCUGGAGCGCUAUUGUACGGACCUUUCUCUCCGCUGAUACCCGGCCGGAGCACGGCAGGACCCAAACUGCAUCCCCGCUGAACUCCUGCUGGAAUGGUUUGAGUAGGCAAGCGCAGCAGAGGUUAGAGUAGCAGAUAAAAAGGGGCAAUGAGGGUGCAGCAGCGCGCGAUUUGGGGAAAAAGCAGUGUAUUUACACGCUUCAUCUCGUCUCCAAGUCCUCAUUAGGUUGUUAACCUCUUGUUCGCAUGAAAAGCUGCCGCGUUGCACAGGACCCUUGCGCAGCACUGGUAUUCCCCUAAAGGCACAGAUCAAAGCGUUUAAAAUCAGUGCGUUGAAAUAAGCGUUUGUUGGGUUACUUUGGAUAGAUGGUCGAUGUUGCAUUAUUUAUUUUUAUUUAGCCUAUUUAUUUGAUUAU